rnacentral:misc_RNA from 1 species
GAUGAAGAACGCAGCGAAAUGCGAUACUUGGUGUGAAUUGCAGAAUCCCGUGAACCAUCGAGUCUUUGAACGCAAGUUGCGCCCGAAGCCAUCAGGUUGAGGGCACGUCUGCCUGGGCGUCACAUAUCGUUGCCCAAUGCCUAUUGCAGUGCAAUAGGAAUUUCUAGGGCGAAUGAUGGCUUCCCGUGAGCGUUGUUGCCUCGCGGUUGGUUGAAAAUCGAGUCCUUGGUAGGGUGUGCCAUGGUAGAUGGUGGUCGAGUUAGAACGAUACCGAUCAUGUGCAUGCUCCCCAAAAUAUGGCCUCUAUGACCCACACGCGUCUUUUGACGCUCAUGACGAGACCUCAGGUCAGGCGGGGCUACUCGCUGAAUUUAAGCAUAUCACUAAGCGGAGGA